rnacentral:rRNA from 1 species
AUUGAACGCUGGCGGCAGGCCUAACACAUGCAAGUCGAGCGGAUGACGGGAGCUUGCUCCUUGAUUCAGCGGCGGACGGGUGAGUAAUGCCUAGGAAUCUGCCUGGUAGUGGGGGACAACGUUUCGAAAGGAACGCUAAUACCGCAUACGUCCUACGGGAGAAAGCAGGGGACCUUCGGGCCUUGCGCUAUCAGAUGAGCCUAGGUCGGAUUAGCUAGUAGGUGAGGUAAUGGCUCACCUAGGCGACGAUCCGUAACUGGUCUGAGAGGAUGAUCAUUCACACUGGAACUGAGACACGGUCCAGACUCCUACGGGAGGCAGCAGUGGGGAAUAUUGGACAAUGGGCGAAAGCCUGAUCCAGCCAUGCCGCGUGUGUGAAGAAGGUCUUCGGAUUGUAAAGCACUUUAAGUUGGGAGGAAGGGUUGUACGUUAAUACCGUGCAAUUUUGACGUUACCGACAGAAUAAGCACCGGCUAACUCUGUGCCAGCAGCCGCCGUAA